rnacentral:rRNA from 1 species
GUAGGGGGCUAGCGUUGUCCGGAAUCAUUGGGCGUAAAGAGCGCGUAGGCGGCCCGGUAAGUCCGCUCUGAAAGUCAAAGGCUCAACCUUUGAAAGCGGGUGGAUACUGCCGGGCUAGAGUCCGGAAGAGGCGAGUGGAAUUCCUGGUGUAGCGGUGGAAUGCGCAGAUAUCAGGAGGAACACCAACGGCGAAGGCAGCUCGCUGGGACGGUACUGACGCUGAGGCGCGAAAGCGUGGGGAGCGAACAGGAUUAGAUACCCUGGUAGUCCACGCCGUAAACGAUGGGCAUUAGGUGUGGGAGGUGUCGACUCCUCCCGUGCCGGCGCUAACGCAUUAAAUGCCCCGCCUGGGGAGUACGGCCGCAAGGCUAAA